GGGCGGCGCCUGGCCCCGCGUGACCCCGCGGCGGAGGACGGGCGGGCGCGGGGCUGCGGGGACGGCCCGGGGGUGAGGGCCCCAUAGACCGGCGCUGGCAGGUGAAAGGGGAAGCUUCUCUUUCGCUGGGCCAACCUCCCCUCCACCGACCAGAUUUCCCUCUCUCCCGGGGUCAGUACGAGGGGAGAGUGCAGAGGCCGGGUGGUCCGCCGAGGUCGCCGGUUCUGUGAGAACUCCUGACCCACCGGAGGAAGAGUGUUUUAAAUGUGAAGGUAGCUGUUUUAGUCAUCAAGGUAAGUUGUAGUAACACAUAGAUCCCCAAAUCAUGGCACAAAAGAGCAGUGCAGGGGGGCUGCC
rnacentral:lncRNA from 1 species